rnacentral:rRNA from 1 species
AGCGAACGCUGGCGGCAGGCCUAACACAUGCAAGUCGAACGAAGUCUUCGGACUUAGUGGCGGACGGGUGAGUAACACGUGGGAACGUGCCUUUAGGUUCGGAAUAACUCAGGGAAACUUGUGCUAAUACCGAAUGUGCCCUUCGGGGGAAAGAUUUAUCGCCUUUAGAGCGGCCCGCGUCUGAUUGGCUAGUUGGUGAGGUAAAGACUCACCAAGGCUACGAUCAGUAGCUGGUCUGAGAGGAUGACCAGCCACAUUGGGACUGAGACACGGCCCAAACUCCUACGGGAGGCAGCAGUGGGGAAUCUUGCGCAAUGGGCGAAAGCCUGACGCAGCCAUGCCGCGUGGAUGAUGAAGGUCUUAGGAUUGUAAAAUCCUUUCACCGGUGAAGAUAAUGACUGUAGCCGGAGAAGAAGCCCCGGCUAACUUCGUGCCAGCCGCCGCAGUAACAC